rnacentral:rRNA from 1 species
AUUAAGGCUUUUAUUUGGUUAGUUAUCAAAGGGAGGAUCUUGACCAAGGACAAUUUGUGUAAAAAAGGCUGGAAAGGCACCAACAAAUGUGAAUUUUGUGAUGCCAAUGAAUGUAUUGACCAUCUGUUUUUCACUUGCUCUUUUGCUCGGUUUCUUUGGAAUGUAGUUGGGAGUGCUUUGGGAAAUCCCCAAACACCCCUGUCAUUCUUUGACUUUUGCCAGAAUUGGCUUCCUAAGUAUACUGGGAAAGAUAGAGUGGUUAUAGCUAUUGGUACGGCUGCUUUAUUAUGGUCGAUCUGGAAAACAAGAAAUAAAUCUUGCUUUCAGAGUUCUUUACCUAAUGAUCCUACUGAUAUUAUCUUCUCCUUAUGUUCCAUGUUGGAUUCGUGGGGUGUGCUACAGAAAAGAGGAGUGCAAAAAACUCUUGAGGAAGUGACCAAGAGG